rnacentral:tRNA from 1 species
GAUUGUGGCUCAGUGGUAGAGCGCUCGCCUAGCGCAUAGGAGGCCCUGGGUUCCAUUCUCAGCACCA